UGGGGAAUAUUGGACAAUGGGCUAAAGCCUGAUCCAGCAAUGCCGCGUGAGUGAUGAAGGCCUUAGGGUUGUAAAGCUCUUUUACCCGGGAUGAUAAUGACAGUACCGGGAGAAUAAGCUCCGGCUAACUCCGUGCCAGCAGCCGCGGUAAUACGGAGGGAGCUAGCGUUGUUCGGAAUUACUGGGCGUAAAGCGCACGUAGGCGGCUUUGUAAGUCAGAGGUGAAAGCCUGGAGCUCAACUCCAGAACUGCCUUUGAGACUGCAUCGCUUGAAUCCAGGAGAGGUGAGUGGAAUUCCGAGUGUAGAGGUGAAAUUCGUAGAUAUUCGGAAGAACACCAGUGGCGAAGGCGGCUCACUGGACUGGUAUUGACGCUGAGGUGCGAAAGCGUGGGGAGCAAACA
rnacentral:rRNA from 1 species